GUAGGACUUGAAUCUAUUUGAAGUGGGCGGAAUAAGACAAGUAGCGGUGAAAUGCAUAGAUAUGUCUUAGAACUCCGAUUGCGAAGGCAGCUCACUAAGUUAGUAUUGACGCUGAUGCACGAAAGCGUGGGGAUCAAACAGGAUUAGAUACCCUGGUAGUCCACGCCCUAAACGAUGAUAACUCGAUGUUUGCGAUACACAGUAAGCGUCCAAGCGAAAGCGUUAAGUUAUCCACCUGGGGAGUACGGUCGCAAGAUUGAAACUCAAAGGAAUUGACGGGGGCCCGCACAAGCGGAGGAGCAUGUGGUUUAAUUCGAUGAUACGCGAGGAACCUUACCCGGGCUUGAAAGUUAGUGAAUGAUCCAGAGACGGAUCAGUCCUUCGGGACACGAAACUAGGUGCUGCAUGGCUGUCGUCAGCUCGUGCCGUGAGGUGUUGGGUUAAGUCCCGCAACGAGCGCAACCCCUAUGUUUAGUUGCCAGCACAUUAAGGUGGGGACUCUAAACAGACUGCCAGCGUAAGCUGUGAGGAAGGUGGGGACGACGUCAAGUCAUCAUGGCCCUUACGUCCGGGGCUACACACGUGCUACAAUGGAUGGUACAGCGGGCAGCUACAUAGCAAUAUGGUGCUAAUCUCUAAAAGCCAUUCACAGUUCGGAUUGAGGUCUGCAACUCGACCUCAUGAAGUUGGAUUCGCUAGUAAUCGCGUAUCAGCAAUGACGCGGUGAAUACGUUCCCGGGCCUUGUACACACCGCCCGUCAAGCCAUGAAAGUUGGGGGUA
rnacentral:rRNA from 1 species